UACGGGAGGCAGCAGUGGGGAAUAUUGGACAAUGGGCGCAAGCCUGAUCCAGCCAUGCCGCGUGUGUGAAGAAGGCCUUCGGGUUGUAAAGCACUUUUGUCCGGAAAGAAAAGCUUAGGGUUAAUAACCUUGAGUCAUGACGGUACCGGAAGAAUAAGCACCGGCUAACUUCGUGCCAGCAGCCGCGGUAAUACGAAGGGUGCAAGCGUUACUCGGAAUUACUGGGCGUAAAGCGUGCGUAGGUGGUUUGUUAAGUCUGAUGUGAAAGCCCUGGGCUCAACCUGGGAAUGGCAUUGGAAACUGGCUUACUAGAGUGCGGUAGAGGGGUGUGGAAUUCCCGGUGUAGCAGUGAAAUGCGUAGAUAUCGGGAGGAACAUCUGUGGCGAAGGCGACACCCUGGACCAGCACUGACACUGAGGCACGAAGCGUGGGGAGCAAACGAGGGAUUAGAUACC
rnacentral:rRNA from 1 species